AUUGCAGGCUGAAACUCGCCUGCAUGAAGUCGGAAUUGCUAGUAAUCGCAGAUCAGCAUGCUGCGGUGAAUACGUUCCCGGGCCUUGUACACACCGCCCGUCACACCAUGGGAGUCGGUAACACCCGAAGCCUGUAGUCUAACCGCAAGGAGGACGCAGUUGAAGGUGGGAUUGAUGACUGGGGUGAAGUCGUAACAAGGUAUC
rnacentral:rRNA from 1 species